rnacentral:rRNA from 1 species
GAGAGGAUAGCGCUACUGUCCACCCGGCCAGGACGACGACCAGGGCGAGCAGUCGACGCGCCUGACGCAGUACCACCAACCAACACGCCUGACGCGGCCCAACCGACCCCGUACAAACGCACCUGGGGACGACUGAUUACGUAGCACACACUCAGGACGCACGGAGUGGAGGCAGACGCCAACCUCUCUCCUCUACCUGACCGUUUUAUAGAACGCUCGGGUGGAGGGCGCAGAGGUAGCUGGAUCGGCGGAGGUACGAGUACGUAGGAGGGCGCAGUUACCGCGGGUUUGGAGGAGUAGAACCUAGGGCACCCUGGCUCCACGCCCGUACCUCCGCUCGUAGGGACCGCCGGUGCCGCUGGAUGUCCGUUUCCCACCGCCACCCCCGCCGCGAGCUAAUCUAGACGCCCUCUCUCUCUCUCUCCUACUCUCCCUCUCUAUUCCUUCUUCUACUCCCUCUCUCUCUCUCUCUCUCUCUCUCUCUCUCUCUCACUCUCUCCUUUCCCCUCUCCUUCCCGAAGAUGCAGUGGCGAGAGACCUACGUGCGGUAGGUGGGCGUGUGCGAGCGGUGGUUGGAGCGGCUGAAGCGGUCCAAGCCGAAGGAGUUCCUGGAGGGGCUCUAGGAGAUAGCAAAGGAGGCACUGGGGGCGCUACUCGCGUUCCUGGUCCUGCUACAGUGGCGCCGCCGGGACCCCCGUUCUCGCCGUUCGCCGUUCGCCGCGCCGCAGCUGCCGGAACGGCGGCGCCGCCGCCUCCGGCGGUUCCGGGCCACGCUCUUCCUCCGCCUCGUGCGCGUCCUGCACGAGCGCGCGAUGCUGAGACUGCUCCGGAAGGCGUUGGAGAUGCUGCCGCAGCGGCUGGAGAAGCAGAUCGACGAGUUCAGCCCGGACCUCGUGGACGCGCGCCCGCUGUGCCGGUUCUAGCACAAGCGGCGGUUCACGCGAGCAGCAUGCGUACCCAGAGGAAACGAGGAACCCACGGCGACCGAUUCAAACAAAACCAGGACGCGUCAAGCUAAACGGAAUAACAGCGGACGGAGCUCGGCACUAAGGAAGAUUUAUUGUGACUGCGAUCCGUGACCAUCCUUAGGUCUCCUUUUCUUUGUCAUUUGGUUGCUACAACAAAGAAAAAAUCGGACGAGUUCCAAACGAGAAAGGAUGAAUGACAGUACCACCAACCAAGUGACGAGUAAAAUAACAAAGUCUUAAUCGUCGGGCAGCACAAAACUAAACGGAGCACGACGAAUAUAAAGCACAAACGCACACCCUUCCUACACACGAUAUCUAAAGUACACACCUAGACUCAAUGGAUCUUACCAACUCUUGGCUUUGUUGAAACAGCGACGUUACGCACACAUGACGAAAAUCUGUCGUUCAUGGCUAUUAGUCGAGGUUGUGAUUUCUAAGUAAAUUAAAAUAGUAGUAAAAAAAUUCUUAUCUAUUUACGUUGUUUACAGAUCCAUUCUAAUAGGUGAUGACUUAACAGAAAGUAAAACGGAAGGUUAAGUUCACGAAUGUCCUAUUGUGUACGUAAAAAAAGUUGGAAUGCUGUCAUGUUUAAAAAGCUUUUCCCAAAUUUAACCAAAGAAAACGCUCGCUACCCAUGUAUGUCAAACCCCUUUAUCCACAGUUCCAUGUUAUUGAGGAACUGCUUAGUCAUUAGUUCACAUUGUUUUACGACGUAUAAAUAUAAACCCUUCACUUGGUCCGAUGAGUAACUAAUUAUUUUCGAAAUAUCAAGACAAGAGGAAGGUAAGUAAAGAAAUCAUAAUAAGUAAAUAAGAGAAUCUAAUUUCCCAAUAACACUACUACAGGAUAACAAGACAUACAUAACCUACCUCCUACACAGCAGCUUGCUGGAGAAGGGAACAACGUUAAAGGGUGCAGGUACCUGUAACAGUAUUACCAGUGGAAUGCCGUCACAUAAUAAAAACCUAGAGCAUAAGGAGUUCCGCGAGGUAGGCGACUAAGCUACAGCCGGUUGGACUCUUUAUUAUCCUCGUUAUUAGGUCGUCUUCUUAAACCACUUCUUCUUGUUCUUUUCUUAUGGAAAUAGGACUAUCCGUACCUUUGUGGCCAAGCGUAACUCACGUAGUAGCGAUUAGUCGAUGAUACAUACUAGUCGCCUGUACGCACGAAUAAGGAUCUCGUUGCCUAUAUCUUCUUUAUACAUUUGUCAACAGGGAUCUUCUUUAUACGUUGUUGAAUAAGUCAUCUCUCGUUCCCUGUAUAUUCUUUAGAGGUCCGUCGAAGCGAAUCUACGUAGUAGAAGACGAUCCUGGAUCCUCAGUCGAACUUCUUGCUGGAAGAGUCCUCUGACGUUGACUGUACGACCUACCACUUAUUGGUUUAAACACCUGUUUCUGUUUCUCAAGUAGCGUUCCCCACCACAAAUCCUAUAUAUAUGUGUUUUAUCCUUUGAAAGAAAACAUGUCUUGGUUUAAUAUACUACAUUAACUGGUGAUAAAGAUUCUUUACAAGUAGCACAUAAUUCAUGUAAAAUAACACAGUGAAAAAAACUCCCCAUCGAAAUAAUUAGUUUGUGGUGUUUCACACGUUAUCUCCAGUAGUUUGGUUCGAAAUAACACAGUGGAUACAAAUGGAAGAAAAAAUGACACAAUGGA